GUGGGGAAUAUUGGACAAUGGGCGAAAGCCUGAUCCAGCCAUGCCGCGUGUGUGAAGAAGGUCUUCGGAUUGUAAAGCACUUUAAGUUGGGAGGAAGGGCAGUAAGUUAAUACCUUGCUGUUUUGACGUUACCGACAGAAUAAGCACCGGCUAACUUCGUGCCAGCAGCCGCGGUAAUACGAAGGGUGCAAGCGUUAAUCGGAAUUACUGGGCGUAAAGCGCGCGUAGGUGGUUUUGUAAGUUGGAGGUGAAAUCCCCGGGCUCAACCUGGGAACUGCGUCCAACACUGCAUGACUAGAGUACGGUAUAGGGUAGUGGAAUUUCCUGUGUAGCGGUGAAAUGCGUAGAUGUAGGAAGGGACACCAGUGGCGAAGGCGACUACCUGGACUGAUACUGACACUAAGGUGCGAAAGCGUGGGGAGCAAACAGGAUUAGAUACCCCGGUAGUCC
rnacentral:rRNA from 1 species